rnacentral:rRNA from 1 species
UUUGGGUGGAUGAGUGGCGAACGGGUGAGUAACACGUGAGUAACCUGCCCCUUCUUUGGGAUAACGCCCGGAAACGGGUGCUAAUACUGGAUAUUCACUGGUCUUCGCAUGGGGGUUGGUGGAAAGGGUUUUUCUGGUGGGGGAUGGGCUCGCGGCCUAUCAGCUUGUUGGUGGGGUGAUGGCCUACCAAGGCUUUGACGGGUAGCCGGCCUGAGAGGGUGACCGGUCACAUUGGGACUGAGAUACGGCCCAG